UGGGGGAUAUUGCACAAUGGGGGAAACCCUGAUGCAGCGACGCCGCGUGAGUGAAGAAGUAUUUCGGUAUGUAAAGCUCUAUCAGCAGGGAAGAAAAUGACGGUACCUGACUAAGAAGCCCCGGCUAACUACGUGCCAGCAGCCGCGGUAAUACGUAGGGGGCAAGCGUUAUCCGGAUUUACUGGGUGUAAAGGGAGCGUAGACGGCAUAGCAAGUCUGAUGUGAAAGGUCGGGGCUCAACCCCGGGACUGCAUUGGAAACUGUUAAGCUGGAGUGCAGGAGAGGUAAGUGGAAUUCCUAGUGUAGCGGUGAAAUGCGUAGAUAUUAGGAGGAACACCGGUGGCGAAGGCGGCCUGCUGGACUGUAACUGACGUUGAGGCUCGAAAGCGUGGGGAGCAAACAGG
rnacentral:rRNA from 1 species